rnacentral:rRNA from 2 species
UGCAGUCGACGGCAGCACAGAAGAGCUUGCUCUUUGGGUGGCGAGUGGCGGACGGGUGAGUAAUGUCUGGGAAACUGCCCGAUGGAGGGGGAUAACUACUGGAAACGGUAGCUAAUACCGCAUAACGUCGCGAGACCAAAGUGGGGGACCUUCGGGCCUCACACCAUCGGAUGUGCCCAGAUGGGAUUAGCUAGUAGGUGGGGUAAUGGCUCACCUAGGCGACGAUCCCUAGCUGGUCUGAGAGGAUGACCAGCCACACUGGAACUGAGACACGGUCCAGACUCCUACGGGAGGCAGCAGUGGGGAAUAUUGCACAAUGGGCGCAAGCCUGAUGCAGCCAUGCCGCGUGUAUGAAGAAGGCCUUCGGGUUGUAAAGUACUUUCAGCGGGGAGGAAGGCGGUGAGGUUAAUAACCUUGCCGAUUGACGUUACCCGCAGAAGAAGCACCGGCUAACUCCGUGCCAGCAGCCGCGGUAAUACGGAGGGUGCAAGCGUUAAUCGGAAUUACUGGGCGUAAAGCGCACGCAGGCGGUCUGUUAAGUCAGAUGUGAAAUCCCCGGGCUUAACCUGGGAACUGCAUUUGAAACUGGCAGGCUUGAGUCUCGUAGAGGGGGGUAGAAUUUCCAGGUGUAGCGGUGAAAUGCGUAGAGAUCUGGAGGAAUACCGGUGGCGAAGGCGGCCCCCUGGACGAAGACUGACGCUCAGGUGCGAAAGCGUGGGGAGCAAACAGGAUUAGAUACCCUGGUAGUCCACGCCGUAAACGAUGUCGACUUGGAGGUUGUGCCCUUGAGGCGUGGCUUCCGGAGCUAACGCGUUAAGUCGACCGCCUGGGGAGUACGGCCGCAAGGUUAAAACUCAAAUGAAUUGACGGGGGCCCGCACAAGCGGUGGAGCAUGUGGGUUUAAUUCGAUGCAACGCGAAGAACCUUACCUGGCCUUGACAUCCAGAGAACUUAGCAGAGAUGCUUUGGUGCCUUCGGGAACUCUGAGACAGGUGCUGCAUGGCUGUCGUCAGCUCGUGUUGUGAAAUGUUGGGUUAAGUCCCGCAACGAGCGCAACCCUUAUCCUUUGUUGCCAGCGAUUCGGUCGGGAACUCAAAGGAGACUGCCGGUGAUAAACCGGAGGAAGGUGGGGAUGACGUCAAGUCAUCAUGGCCCUUACGGCCAGGGCUACACACGUGCUACAAUGGCGCAUACAAAGAGAAGCGACCUCGCGAGAGCAAGCGGACCUCAUAAAGUGCGUCGUAGUCCGGAUUGGAGUCUGCAACUCGACUCCAUGAAGUCGGAAUCGCUAGUAAUCGUAGAUCAGAAUGCUACGGUGAAUACGUUCCCGGGCCUUGUACACACCGCCCGUCACACCAUGGGAGUGGGUUGCAAAAGAAGUAGGUAGCUUAACCUUCGGGAGGGCGCUACCACUU